rnacentral:lncRNA from 1 species
GGACUUGUGCAAUCUGAAUAUAAACUUGUAUAAUUUUAAUACUACUUGUGUAACCUGAAUAUGAACAUGCGUAACCAGUUUACCUAACCAUAAAAACUGUCUUAACAUAAAUCUGUGUAAUCAAUAAUAAAAAAUGGAUAACUAGACAACCGACUGGCACAUAACUUGCAGCUCAACAGUUGGCCCGACACAUAACCAGACAACCGAUUGA